UCCUAAUGAUUCUCCACUACUUUAUGUAUCGAAAUCAAGCUUCUUACAUCGCGAUUGUUUGAUUAGAAUGACAAAGAAGUUGUCUUAUUCCCAAACAGGAAAGCUGGAAUCACCUGAUUUGAAAGUGGGAUAGCUUCUUCAUCCUAACUCCUAUGAGAUUUAUUCCACUUCCUAAUGAUUCUCCACUACUUUAUGUAUCAAAAUCAAGCUUCUUACAUCGCGAUUCUUCUUGGUUUGAUUAGAAUGACAAAGAAGUUGUCAUAUUCCCAAACAGGAAAACUGGGAUCACCUN
rnacentral:lncRNA from 1 species